AGGAGAACCCGGGUUAGGGAAAUCGGCAAAAUAGUAGCGUAUCUUUUGUAAAAGCUAUGUCUGCGUUUAGUAAACGCAGAUUUCAAUAUCAAGGGAACAACGACUGUUUAUCAAAAACACAACUCACCGCACAGUCGAAAGGCUGAGUACAGUGGGUGACGCCUGCUCACCGCUAGUCAGCGAAACUCGGUUUCAACCGAACUAAGCCCUAGCAAAGAGCGGGAGUAACUCUGACUCUCUUUAGGUAGCGUAAUACCUCGUCACUUAAUAGGUGACUUGCAUGAAGGGCGUAACGAUUGUUCCACUGUCCCAACUCGGGACCUGGUGAACUUACUACGUGGUGUACAUGCCACGUUCUUUCAGUGGGUAGCGAAGUCUCUAUGAAACUUGACUAUAGUCUGUUGCUGUUGUGUGAUGGAUACUUCACAGCGUAAGUGGGAGCGUCGAAGCUGCAUUCUCGGAUGCAGUGGAGCGACAAUGUAACACCACUAUGUAUCUAUUACGCGACUUACAAAUAAAAUUGGACAACAGCAGAUGGAUAGUUGGACUGGGCGGUUGCUUUCGAUAAGGAAACGAAAGUGAUCAAUGCUCCGCUUAGGAGGGUUGGGAACCCUCUGUUAAGCAUAAAGGCAAAUGCGGGGCUGACUGUAUAGCGAAAAGCGUGCUAUGCAGACUGGAAACAGUGACUUAACGAACGUUGGAUGGCCUUUUAAUGGGCCACCAAGCUGUCAGACAAGUUACUCUAGAGGUAACCGGUUCGUGGCUGGUGAGAGUUCACAUCGACCCAGCCGUUUGAUACACCGAUAUGGGCUUAGGUUAUCCUGGGGGUGCAGGAGCCUCCAAGGGUUGGACUGCUCGUCCAUUAAAAACCUACAUGAGCUGAGUUCAGUACGUCGCGAGACAGUACGGUAGCAACUACUGAAAGUGUUAGUGUCAGAGGAUAAGAACUUUUUAAUACGAGAGGAACGAAAGUUCGGCGCCUCUAGUGGACCGGUUGUCGUAAUGGCACUGCCGGGUAGCCACGCGCUAAGCGGAUAAGACCUGAAAGCAUCUAAGGUCGAAGCCGUAUCCGAAACGAGACACUUAGGGUGGGCAUAGUACAUGCCUUUGAUAGGGCGGGAAUGUAAGCAGGAAGCUUCGGCGACCUGUGAGUUCACCGCAACUAAAUCCUAAUAAACUUUUAA
rnacentral:rRNA from 1 species